GUGCACCAGGCGAGAAAACUCCGCAAUGCCCGAAAGGGUGACGGGGGAUUCCAAGUGCCUACGCUUGGCGUAGGCUGUUCAGGUGCCUAAAAAGCACCUGGAGGAAGGGCUGGGUAAGACGGGUGCCAGCCGCCGCGGUAAUACCCGCAGCCCGAGUGGUAGUCGCUUUUAUUGGGCCUAAAGCGUCCGUAGCCGGUCUGGUAAAUGCCUGGGUAAAUCGUGGGGCUUAAACCUCACGAAUUCCGGGUAGACUGCCAGACUUGGGACCGGUUGAGGGAGAGGGGUACUCCAGGGGGUAGGGGUGAAAGUCAGCAAGGUAAGCUGAUGUAACUUGCCUUGCAAGUCACAAUCCGUGUAAUCCUUGGAGGACCCACCGGUGGCGAAAGCGCUCUCCUAGGGACGGGUCCGAC
rnacentral:rRNA from 1 species